AUAGAUACCUGCUGCCAGGGCUUUACUUUCAACAGCACUGCCUGCUCAAUAAGGAAGCUGAUUGAAAACUGUUGAGUGUGUUUCAAGCACUGAAGCAGAGAAGAAAGUGUGAAAACAACUAUAACCAAGGAUACAAAAGGAAAGAGACCUGCUGAUCACUAAGAUGCAAAGACUGGAAGACAGAUUGAAUGACCUGAAGUCUAAGCUAUCUGCAGCUUUAAUGGAUAAGGACCGCGUUAUCCAGGAGAAAGCUGAAUUGCACCAAAGAGUCCAGGCUUUGGAACUGCAGUUGAAGAGAGAGCAGGAAGGCAAGCAGGGUUUCAGUGAGCAGGUGUGUGAGCUUCAUUCUGAGCUGUCUCAAGCUAAGAGGCAGGCCAACAGACAGAAGAUGGACAUGAUAUAAAUAAAGGAGGAGCUGCUCUUUAAUAAAGAGUUGAACGAAAAGCUGUCGCCUGAUCUGACCAAGGCUACAGAGAGGCUACAGAUAACCCUAAACUAACUACAUGAGCUGGAAACAGAGAAACUGAUUCAAACCAAUCAGAUCACGGCACUGGAAUCUGAGCGCUUGCAGCUGAUUGGAGAGGAGGCGGCAUUGAGGAAAACCGUUGAUAAUGGAAAUCAAGAUGAGAUUCGAGAGCUAAAAGCGAUCUCUAAUUCAUUCAGUGUUUGGAUUGUUUAUGGUACCCUAUAACACGUGACUGCCAUUGUCAAAAACUUCAAGGAUUUUAAUUGCUUUCCUUGGUACUUUCUUGAUGUAGAGAAAAAGUAGUAGUCAUAACCUAUCGCUAUCCCUUGACAUCAGCACAUAAGUUCUGUAAAACCAAUGAUGGGGACUUGAUUAGUGUUAUGGUUAACUAAUGAUUGUUUGCACGAAGGAGGAAACAGAGACCAUAUUUGUAAAGUGCUUAGAUGUUUGAAAUAAGUGACCUAUCAGGAUCUCAGAAAGUGUUGUACUGUGACACCUCUAAUUAAAUUUGCUUGUGAAUGUUUUUGAAAGUAAGCUUCUUCCUUUUCUUCUAUAUUACUGAACUACUGGAUCCCAUUGACUUGUGAUGUAAAUUGGAACUGCAGAGAACAAUCAGUAAACUUUCUCU